rnacentral:rRNA from 1 species
AUUGAACGCUGGCGGCAUGCCUUACACAUGCAAGUCGAACGGCAGCAUGGAGAGCUUGCUCUCUGAUGGCGAGUGGCGAACGGGUGAGUAAUGCAUCGGAACGUACCGUGUAAUGGGGGAUAACGUAGCGAAAGUUACGCUAAUACCGCAUACGACCUGAGGGUGAAAGCAGGGGAUCGCAAGACCUUGCGUUAUACGAGCGGCCGAUGCCAGAUUAGCUAGUUGGUGAGGUAAAGGCUCACCAAGGCGACGAUCUGUAGCGGGUCUGAGAGGAUGAUCCGCAAAACUGGAACUGAGACACGGCCCAGACUCCUACGGGAGGCAGCAGUGGGGAAUUUUGGACAAUGGGGGCAACCCGGAUCCAGCCGUGCCGCGUGAGUGAAGAGGGCCUUCGGGUUGUAAAGCUCUUUCGGCCGGGAAGAAAUCGCACAGGCUAAUACUCUGUGUGGAUGACGGUACCGGCAUAAGAAGCACCGGCUAACUACGUGCCAGCCGCCGCCGUAA